rnacentral:rRNA from 1 species
GGCGAACGGGUGAGUAACGCGUGGGUGACCUGCCUUCGAGUGGGGGAUAACGUCUCGAAAGGGACGCUAAUACCGCAUGACAUCCUGCCUUUGAAGAGGUGGUGAUUAAAGCUGGGGAUCGCAAGACCUGGCGCUUGGAGAGGGGCCCGCGUCCGAUUAGCUAGUUGGUGGGGUAAUGGCCUACCAAGGCGACGAUCAGUAGCCGGCCUGAGAGGGCGGACGGCCACACUGGGACUGAGACACGGCCCAGACUCCUACGGGAGGCAGCAGUGGGGAAUUGUUCGCAAUGGGCGCAAGCCUGACGACGCAACGCCGCGUGGAGGAUGAAGGUCUUCGGAUUGUAAACUCCUGUUGCCCGGGACGAAUGGCUCCGACCUAACACGUCGGAGAUUGACGGUACCGGGUGAGGAAGCCCCGGCUAACUCUGUGCCAGCAGCCGCGGUAAUACAGAGGGGGCAAGCGUUGUUCGGAAUUACUGGGCGUAAAGGGCGCGUAGGCGGCCUGCUAAGUCGAACGUGAAAUCCCCGAGCUCAACUCGGGAACUGCGUCCGAUACUGGCAGGCUUGAAUCCGGGAGAGGGAUGUGGAAUUCCAGGUGUAGCGGUGAAAUGCGUAGAUAUCUGGAGGGACACCGGUGGCGAAGGCGACAUCCUGGACCGGUAUUGACGCUGAGGCGCGAAAGCCAGGGGAGCAAACGGGAUUAGAUACCCCGGUAGUCC